AUGAUGCAAAAUCGACUACGUUGAAUAAAAUUCCAGGCAGAAUUAUGAUAAUGACAUUGUUUGCCUGAAUGUCUUGACCAAAUUACGUGCCAGCAGUCGCGGUAAUACGUAGAAGACUAGUGUUAUUCAUCUUUAAUAGGUUUAAAGGGUACCUAGACGGUAAAUCAAGCCAUAGAAGGGACUAAUUUGCUAGAGUUACUUGUGAGGGGGCAUUAAAGUACUAAUGGUGUAGAGAUGAAAUUUUGUGAUACCAAUUCUUGAAAAAGAAGUGAUGGCACUGGUAUAGGCGAAAGCAUCCCCUUAUGUGAUAACUGACGUUGAAGGACGAAGGCUUUGUGUAGCGAACAGGAUUAGAUACCCUAGUAGUCAAAGCAGAAAAUGAUGAAUGUCAUAGAUUAGAUCACUCAUAAAAACAAUUUAUUGUAGAGAUAUAUUUAUUCUAUAAAUGAAAGUGUAAGCAUUCCACCUCAAGAGUAAUUUGGCAACAUUGGAACUGAAAUCAUUAGACCGUUUCUGAAACCAGUAGUGAAGUAUGUUGUUUAAUUUGAUGAUCCGCAAAAAACCUUACCACAGUUUGAAUAUUUAUAUUUUUUUUAUUUUACAUGAAAAAUUAUAUUUACAAGCGUUGCACGGUUGUCUUCAGUUAAUGUCGCGAGACUUUGGUUAGUUCCAUUAAAUUAACGUAAGCCCUUACUUUAUUUACAUAUAAAGUUGUUUCCCCGCUAUAUUGGGAUAUGAUAACAGGGACUAAGACAAAUCAUCAUGGCCUGAAUAACUGUGGGCUAUAGAC
rnacentral:rRNA from 1 species